UACAGAGGGCUCAAGCGUUGUUCGGAUUCAUUGGGCGUAAAGGGUGCGUAGGCGGCGCGGUAAGUCGGGUGUGAAAUCUCGGAGCUUAACUCCGAAACUGCAUUCGAUACUGCCGUGCUUGAGGACUGGAGAGGAGACUGGAAUUUAAGGUGUAGCGGUGAAAUGCGUAGAUAUCGUAAGGAAGACCAGUGGCGAAGGCGGGUCUCUGGACAGUUCCUGACGCUGAGGCACGAAGGUCAGGGGAGCAAACGGG
rnacentral:rRNA from 1 species